UAUGGCUCAUUUUGGUACCAUAUUCAUGCAAAAUUUACACCGAUAAAAUGUGAAUCGAUAUGAAUAUCGAUCUUUUUAUUAUUAAUAUCCCAUCAUUCACACUGAAACAAGAAUACAGAAUUACUGGACCCAUACUUCAGUUCUAUGAUAUCUACCAAUACACCAUAAUAAUCAAUCUCUUCUUCUCCUUCAUAUCCUAUUGCAAUCUCACUAUUCUGGAUUCGUCAAUACAUCUCAAGCUUCCUUGUAUGAAAUCUCAUUCUUCUAAUGAUACAGAAUGCGUAGUGAUUAAUCCUUCGAUCAGAA
rnacentral:lncRNA from 1 species